UACGAAGGGGGCUAGCGUUGCUCGGAAUCACUGGGCGUAAAGCGCACGUAGGCGGCUUGUUAAGUCAGAGGUGAAAUCCUGGAGCUCAACUCCAGAACUGCCUUUGAUACUGGCGAGCUUGAGUUCGGGAGAGGUGAGUGGAACUGCGAGUGUAGAGGUGAAAUUCGUAGAUAUUCGCAAGAACACCAGUGGCGAAGGCGGCUCACUGGCCCGAUACUGACGCUGAGGUGCGAAAGCGUGGGGAGCAAACAGG
rnacentral:rRNA from 1 species